GUAGGUGGCAAGCGUUGUCCGGAAUUAUUGGGCGUAAAGCGCGCGCAGGCGGUUCUUUAAGUCUGAUGUGAAAGCCCACGGCUCAACCGUGGAGGGUCAUUGGAAACUGGAGAACUUGAGUACAGAAGAGGAAAGCGGAAUUCCACGUGUAGCGGUGAAAUGCGUAGAGAUGUGGAGGAACACCAGUGGCGAAGGCGGCUUUCUGGUCUGUAACUGACGCUGAGGCGCGAAAGCGUGGGGGAGCAAACAGGAUUAGAUACCCUGGUAGUCCACGCCGUAAACGAUGAGUGCUAAGUGUUAGGGGGUUUCCGCCCCUUAGUGCUGCAGCUAACGCAUUAAGCACUCCGCCUGGGAGUACGGCCGCAAGGCUGA
rnacentral:rRNA from 1 species